UUAAACUGAGCACAUGUAUCAGCUUCUCUGUCUCUUGAUUGACAAAUGACAUGCCUGAGGAGAGACACGGGUCUGAAAAACUGGUUUCCAUUGUUUACAGAUACACCGGGUUGUCCUCGAAAGGAACAUAGAUCUUAUCGCCCAGGUAUAAUUUGCUCAGUGCUGUCUCCUUGAAAGGUGAUGAAAUUCACAGUUUGGCCUUGGUGUCUUUGACUUGUCAGGCAAAACUGGAGUUUCACAUCCGUGUGAACAUCUGCUUCAUUGAGGCUCAGCGAGGUUGUGCAUUUUUAAGUGAGCUGACCACUGUCAGUGAUAGCACAGCUGGCAUCCUUUUUGGGACUUAAAAGAUUAAAACACUGACGAUGAAAUCGGCUUCAGGAGUGUUGAAAGCUAAGUGAGCUCUUUGACCUUUCAACUUUAUUUACUAUAAUUCAAUUUUACUAAUAGCAACUACGUAAAUAUCACAAAAUAAUAAAUACAACAGAAAGAAAGACUUAAGCCAAUGAGGGUCAUCGCUAAAUAAUGUAAAUAGUUGAAACAAUAAUUUUUACAGCACAAUUGUGCAAAUUUGGGUGUGUACUGUACCUUUAUGACGGUGCCUAUGUGUCAUCCAAUCAGCGUGGUCCUAUUUUAUUGCCGGAAGUUAGCAGGUGAAAAUGAAGUCACGCCACGAAAUAUAAGCUUGUUUUUACAAAGAUUCGGUGAAACAAGCAAACAAGCUUGCAAGUCAAAUGACAGUGCAGGCAGGAUGGGGAUCAUCGGCAUCUGGAGAGAAAUGGCACAAAUUGUCGACAGUGGGCCCACCAUGCACGACGAGCGGACUCAUCCUACCCCCCUUAGAUGGCAAAAGCUGCAGAACCGCCGUACGGAAGAUACGCUUGAUCUCCUCCGACACUUUCCUCCAGGCCUUGUCGUUCUUGGUUUUGGCUGCACU